GACGAACGCUGGCGGCGUGCUUAACACAUGCAAGUCGAACGGAAAGGCCCUGCUUUUGUGGGGUGCUCGAGUGGCGAGCGGGUGAGUAACACGAGAGUAACCUGCCCUUGCCUUUGGGAUAACUUCAGGACACUGGGGCUAAUACAGGAUAGGAGCUCCUGCUGCAUUGUGGUGGUUGGACAGUUUCGGCGGUUGGGGAUGGGUUCGCGGCUUUUGAGCUCGUUGGUGGGGUAGUGGCUUACCAAGGCUUCGACGGGUGGCCGGCCUGAGCGGGUGACCGGCAACAUUGGGACUGAGAUACGGCCCAGACGCGUACGGGAGGCAGCAGUGGGGAAUAGUGCACAACGGGCGGAAGCCUGAUGCAGCAACGCCGCGUGCGGGAUGACGGCCUUCGGGUUGUAAACCGCUUUCGCCUGGGACGAAGCGGGAGUGACGGUAAUGGGUAAAGAAGCACCGGCUAACUACGUG
rnacentral:rRNA from 1 species